GUAUUCGUCUACAAGCGCUCGAAGCGCUCCUUCGCUCGUCAUUUCUGGUAUUGCGCACGGUUGCGCACGUUGCGCACUAUAAUAAACCUAGAGAUCUAGAGAGCGGCUCAUAACAUAAUCUGUCAUAACCUUUCGGGUAAAGGCGAGUAAAGGGAAGUCUACGAAAAUGAGAUCAGCGAUUAAUAAGCUCUGUGCGAAAUUAGGAAAUCCGUUAAACGUGAACGUUAUCAAGUUGUUAAAUAAGCAACGAUCCUCUCGAUCGUUGUCAGAUUUGACCAAUGUACAGAAACCGUACAAGAGGAACGUCGAUUCGUACAGAGGCAGGAUGAAAGAAGACAUGCUGAAUAAAAAGGAAGGAACCGGUAUUCUCGAAUAUAGUUUCUUGAGCAUACCAAUAGCUGCGUUCGCGCUUGGUACAUGGCAGAUUCAAAGGCUUAAAUGGAAAUUAGAUUUAAUAGAGAAAUUAAAGACUCGUAUCAAUCACGAGCCAAUCGACUUGCCAGAGAAUUCAGAUGGAUUGGAAUCGAAGGAGUAUUAUCCUGUCAGGGUGAGAGGAACGUAUUUGUACGACAAAGAGUUCAUUAUCGGACACAGAUCUUUGCUAAUCGAUGGCAAACCUGCUACAGGGAAACAGGUACCCGUUGCAUCGAGUGAAAUGAAAAAGGGAUACAAUGUUAUCACCCCUUUUAAGUUGGCAGAUAGAGAUUUGACGAUCUUGGUAAAUCGCGGGUGGAUUCCCAGAUCGCUUAAAAGCCAGGCUAAAAGACAGGAGAGUCAGCAGGGCGAAGUAGAGAUCGUCGGGAUCUUGAGGCCAAACGAGAGAAGGCCACCGUUCGUUCCUAAAAAUCGGCCGCACAGCGAUAUAUGGAAUUAUAGAGACGUGAACGCGAUGGCUGAGAAAGUAAAUGCGUCUCCUAUAUAUCUCGAAUUGAUCUCUAACAAUAAUUACGAUCGGUAUCCGAUAGGCGGUCAAACGAAAGUGGAGCUGAGAAACGAGCACUUUAAUUACAGUCUCACGUGGUAUUGUCUGUCGGCUGCCACGGCGUAUCUUUGGUACAGGAAAUUCGUAAAAGGAGUGCCGUUUACGAGUUAGGAACGAUUCCAGACGAUAGACGCUUCUUCUAGCCUUGAAACAGUCUAUUAUCACUGCCACGAGAGAGCAUAUCUGCUCAUCUCUCUCUUUUUGUUUAAUGCUGCCCGUGUCGUCGUCAUUACUCCGACCUACGUAUUCCACUGUCUCUAGCGAAACAGAUCUGAACGUGACAAGUUUCGGUAUGACACGACAGAUCAGAAAUUGCUAAGUAUGUAUGCUGGUUCUGCCAACUAUUUCGGGCACUGCAACCAAGGGCAACUUCUAUAAAUCAUGAUUCACCCGUUCAAGAGUUUCUCGCACGUUUCCUGUUUCGCUUUCGUGCUCUUCAUCCAAGCAGUUGUCAUCGCCGUCGAUCCGAAUUGGAUUCAUUACAUUGUUCACGAUAUUCCUCGGACAUUUGGCUUCGAUUCCAGUGUUCGGACAUUAAAAUGGGUUUUCUACGAACAGGAAUAUCACGUUCCUCUACGGGCUCACCUUCCCCGGUGAGUUCUACUGCUUUAGCGUUGAAAGACCAUCAGCACGUCCUUAUGUCAAGGUACAUAAUCUAUCGUAUGUAUUUUAUUUCAUUGCAAAGUAUUUGUAAUAGUCUUAAGGGAAAUUGUAUAGAUAUCAGAUUUUUGUAUUCUGUAACUUGUUUAAAAAUUAAAUAAAGAUCCUUUUAAACAUA